rfam:Massilia sp. JS1662 GAT14, whole genome shotgun sequence.
UGUCUCCUCCAACUCUCCUCAGAAAGAAUUGGAUUUAAGCCCGCCUCAACAGCGGGCUUUUUUUU